GGGCCCCAGCAGGGCCUGCCGGGCUGGCUGAGCGCUGCCCUACCAGCACGUUGAGGUCAGGGCUUCAGGGCUGGGCACGUGAGCUGGGAACGCCUGCUUGGCAGGGCCGUGUCCUUGCUGCAGUUCUGCUAUCGGGYCCUCACCGGGGGCUUUUGUCAGCACAGGCAAUGCCGUGGCGGUGCAACAAGGAGUCAGAAAUGCUCAGCCAUGAGCCUCCGUGAGGAGCAUGAACAUCCACCCCCAGGUGAGGAGCGUCAGACCAUGCAGGAGCUGCAGGAACUCUCAGAGGAGCCCAAGCAGGGCUGUCUGGGAUGGCCAGUGCAAACGCCCCUGCAUUGCCCCAGCACCGGCUCUCGGACGCUGCCGCCUGCGCGCAGAGCCUGGGACAGCGUGUCCAGCAGCAGGGGCUGCGUCCCGGCCCCCCUCACCCCCGCGGGGACCUCGGAGGCGCUUCCUGGUGAGUCUGGGGGCAUUUUCCCCUGGUGCCUUCUCCCUAAGGAGCCUGGGGGGGUUGUGUCACUGGUGAGUAACAGCUCCAGCCUCACUGCCUGUCUCUGUGUCCUGGCCAGGGGCUGCCGACACUGCGCGACGGCCUCGCACCUCCUUUCUGCGCUCUGCAGCGAAGCUGGGAGCACCACGGCGCAGAGAGGCAGCGUGAGGUUUGUUUCCUCCCGGACAGAAGCCGCCCGGCUCCCUGCUCGCAGCAGGACGAUGCCUCCGCUCGCCUCCUGCCCUGCGCGGGGCCCUGCUCCUGGCUGGGGACAACCUGCCUGCGCCCGCCUGGCUCUGGGCCUCCUUGGGAACCCUGCUGGGAGCACAGCAGGGGCUCCUCACAGCUCAGCUCUGGCUCCUUAGGGCUUGGCCUCAUUACAGCAGUGGUGGUGACUGACAAGGUCGUAAAUCAAUCACUGUCACAGCUUGCAUAUUAAUAUCAUAGUUUAAUAUUCCAUACAUAUUGCACAGUUAGUUUAUUAACAGUGUACAUACUCCAUGCACACAUUGAAUAAAGAGUCCCAGUCUUGUACA
rnacentral:lncRNA from 1 species